GUAAUUAAAUUUGGACCCGAUAGUUCCACUUACUAAAUACCCGAAAAUUUUGGGUCGGUUUGGUUCUUGUUAGAAUCGAACCGAACCGAAUCAUGUCCAGCCGUAGGUGGGCUAAUCGAGAAGAAGAGGAAGAUUUCAAUGAAGAGAGGGAAAGAGAAUGGGCUGAAAAUUAGGGCUCAUUUUCAUAUAAAUAAACAAGUGGGCUAGGGCUUGGAGAGGGACCAUCAAGUAGAAGGUAAUCUACAUUUUAAACAAGCCUAAGAAGAAUCAGGAUCAACAAGAAAUACAAGUUUAAUUGCUUCUAACCUCACGAAAAAAGUGACUUUCUCACCAAUUAGCAAAACAGAGAUUCUCUCUUCACUCCCUAAAUUGGUCUCCAACUCAUCUCUUAAUCAAAAUUCACCUUCAUUUUCAAUCCCAAAAUCAGUUUCUAUUACUUCAAAAUUUGUCAAACCGAAGCAAUCACAAGCACACAAUCAACUCACUGUUUCGGUGCUUUGAAAGAGGAUGGAAAAGGGUUUUUGCCUUCAUUGUGAUGAGAAAAAUCCAAUGGGCCAUAAUUGUGAUAAUAAAGAGUUAAAAGUGUUGGUGGUAACUGAUAAUUUGGAGGUAUGCUUCAUAGAGAUGGAAAACGGGGAUGAGAAAAAAGGGGAGCUUCCAAGGAUGAUGAAGUCCCAGUGGCAGAUAGAUCAUGACUAUAUGAAAUUGUUAAUCCAAGGUGCAGUCCGCUAUAAUUUGUUUUCAACUAGGCAGGUUCAAACAUUGGACAUUUUGUGGGUAGGGGCAACGGGCUAUGGAGUUGCCUUGGAUAUUAUACUUAUGAUAGUUGCUCGACUAAGUCCGUUCAUUUCAAAAGACUGAAACGUCCCUUCGCCAUGGUGACCAUGAUUAGAGUGCUUGCAAGGAAAAUGGUGUGGUUGCAAGAUGAAUGAACAAAGCCAGCAUCAACUUCCACCUUGAGGACAAGGUGGAUUUGGAGGGGGGGG
rnacentral:lncRNA from 1 species